rnacentral:lncRNA from 1 species
GAUAUAGAGUCUCCAGAAUGAAAGGGAAAUUUGAUUCUACUAUUGGUCACUAAGUGGGGAGAGGAGACUAAACUGAAAUUUAAUCCAGAUAAGACUAAUUUGAUGUUAAUUUUGUUCUCCUUGCUCUAAUUAAUAAUUAAAGAUAUGACGAAAUUUCCUUUUCUCUUGAUAGAUCUUAUAUCAUUAUCCACAAUGGUCACCAAACAGUUGUCAGCAAAACAUACAAUACUACAUCCUUUGGGCAAUUUAACAUCAAAAAUACUAUUCAUAAGGAUAUUCCAAAACCUUGAUCCACACCCCGAUCCCUGCAGACAACACAUAGAAAUGUCACAUGUAUGUGUGACAUUAUUGUAUACUAGUGUAAUUUUUCUUCAUGAAAAAUAAUUAACAAUAUCCAUCUUUUGUUCUAACUGCUAUACUUUGUCUGUGCACAUACAACAUUCAGUAAAAAGCACUAUUUUGCGGCAAAUAUAGAAUGGGUCUCUUUGGUUCCGAAC